GACGAACGCUGGCGGCGUGCUUAACACAUGCAAGUCGAACGGAAAGGCCUGCUUUCCCUUGUGGAUUGCGGGUACUCGAGUGGCGAACGGGUGAGUAACACGUGAGUGAUCUGCCCCCAACUUGGGUAUAAGCCUGGGAAACUGGGUCUAAUUCCCGAUAGGACUGCAGGGUGGUGCCUGUGGUGGAAAACGAUUUUCUAGUGGUUGGGGAUGAGCUCGCGGCCUAUCAGCUUGUUGGUGGGGUAAUGGCCUACCAAGGCGGCGACGGGUAGCCGGCCUGAGAGGGUGGACGGCCACAUUGGGACUGAGAUACGGCCCAGACUCCUACGGGAGGCAGCAGUGGGGAAUAUUGCACAAUGGGCGGAAGCCUGAUGCAGCGACGCCGCGUGGGGGACGACGGCCUUCGGGUUGUAAACUCCUUUCGACCGCGAGGAAGCCACCUGGUUGGAAGGGUGGUGACGGUAGUGGUAGAAGAAGCACCGGCUAACUACGUG
rnacentral:rRNA from 1 species